rnacentral:rRNA from 1 species
CCUACGGGAGGCAGCAGUUGGGAAUUUUGCACAAUGGACGAAAGUCUGAUGCAGCAACGCCGCGUGCGGGAUGAAGAUUUUCGGAUUGUAAACCGCUUUUAUUUGGGAGUAACUGUUUGAACGUACCAAAUGAAUAAGCACCGGCUAACUCCGUGCCAGCAGCCGCGGUAAUACGGAGGGUGCAAACGUUGUCCGGAAUUACUGGGCGUAAAGCGCAUGUAGGUGGUCUAAUAAGUGAACGAUUAAAUACCGACGCUUAACGUCGGAAAGGUUAUUCAUACUGUUAGACUCGAGGAAGACAGGGGCAGAUGGAACUUUAAGUGUAGGAGUGAUAUCCGUAGAUAUUUAAAGGAACACCAAUGGCGAAGGCAGUCUGCUGGGUCUUUUCUGACACUGAGAUGCGAAAGUGUGGGGAGCAAACGGGAUUAGAUACCCCGGUAGUCCACACUGUAAACGAUGCUCACUAGGUCUUGGAGGGUAUCGACCCCCUUUUGGACCGAAGCUAACGCGUUAAGUGAGCCGCCUGGGAGUACGAACGCAAGUUAAACUUAAGGAAUUGACGGCUGAGAGNGCGAGNGACACGAGGAGUAG